AGCAGUUUGGAGAUACCUCAGAAAGUUAAAAACAGAUCUUUUUUUUUUUUUUACCUAGUGAUCCCACUUCUGGGAUUAUAUCCAAAGGGACCCAAAACACUAAUUUGAGAGAACAUAAACAUCCCUAUAUGCAUUGCAGCAUUAUUUACAAUUAUCAAAAUAUGGAAGCAGCCCAAGUGUCCAUCAGUAGAUGAGUGGAUAAAACAACUAUGGGACAUUUACAUAAUGAAAUACUACUCAGCU